rnacentral:rRNA from 1 species
CACUAGAAAAACUUAGCGGCGAACGGGUGAGUAACACGUAAAGAACCUGCCUCAUAGACGGGGACAACUAUUGGAAACGAUAGCUAAUACCGGAUAACAGCAUAAAUCGCAUGAUAUAUGUUUAAAAGUUGGUUUCGGCUAACACUAUGAGAUGGCUUUGCGGUGCAUUAGCUAGUUGGUGGGGUAAAGGCCUACCAAGGCGACGAUGCAUAGCCGACCUGAGAGGGUGAUCGGCCACACUGGGACUGAGACACGGCCCAGACUCCUACGGGAGGCAGCAGUAGGGAAUCUUCCGCAAUGGGCGAAAGCCUGACGGAGCAACGCCGCGUGAGUGAAGAAGGAUUUCGGUUCGUAAAGCUCUGUUGUUAGGGAAGAAUGAUUGUAUAGUAACUAUAUACAGUAGAGACGGUACCUAACCAGAAAGCCACGGCUAACUACGUGCCAGCAGCCGCGGUAAUACGUAGGUGGCAAGCGUUGUCCGGAAUUAUUGGGCGUAAAGCGCGCGCAGGUGGUUUAAUAAGUCUGAUGUGAAAGCCCACGGCUCAACCGUGGAGGGUCAUUGGAAACUGUUAAACUUGA